UAAAUCUGGGGAUUAAUUAUUUCCCAUACAAUUUUAAGUAUCUACUUUCCUGAUUGGAAAUGUGUAUGUGCGUUAAUUAAUGUUGUGUUUAUUAUCGUGCUCUUAUUGUUCCGCAAGUAAUAACGAACACAUGACACGGAGAAUAGAAAGAGAUUAAAAGGACAGAGGAAGACUGAAAGAUCAGAAGAGCGUGUUUGUGUGGACUAGGCUCGUCUGAUCAUGAUUUAUUUAUUGCCAUGCUUUUUGCUGACUAUUGAUUUUUGUUGUCUAACCAUUAGCUAUUCAUUGUUCUCAGAAAAUCGUUUGCCCCGAUAUGCUUAUCCGUGCUCUGUGAUCCCAGUUAUCAUUGAUGUAACCCCAAAAGUAACAAAGCAUUUUUUUAAUUAUUGAUUUAUUUGAAGUUGUUUGCUCUCCACAAAGGUGGAAACACACAAAGCUACAGCUAGGAUUACCGAUUGAAUAAUAUGCAAUAAUGUGAUGCAGUUAUUGAACUCCUUAUGGACGACACAAAAUAAUAAAAUCACACAAACUCCGCCAUUACAUUUUACUCUUGUUCCACAAUAAGUUUAAAACAGACCGGUACAACAAAACUUUUUUUUAACAAACUCAGGUAACAACGAGACUGUCUAACCUUGCUGACUUCCAUUAGUCAAACAGCAUGAAGUAGUCUUUGCAAGAAAGUACUUCGCAGUAUCUUUCCCUGCUACAUGACUAUAGCUAUCCUAAAUACAUGACUAUAGCUAUCCUAACAAUACCGCGGUGGGCAUAUCUCUCCCAACACCAAUACUUAUACUGGAUCCGCGUUUCUAAAGUUCAGGAAGUAAAAAGUACCUAAAGAGUCAGUCACACCACCCUGAAAUACCCUUACUAAAUUUUGCCUAAUGGUGACACAGGAUACCGGCGUAUUAAGAGAGAUUAACAACUGACUGAGCAGUUGACCGUUUAUGCGCCAUAGUGUGUUCCUUAUACGCCGUGUUAGCACACCUCAGGCAGGUGGGUCCUUUGGGCGGACAGUGCCACUCCCUACCACCCUACCUUUCAAAACCUGUUCUGCGACUCUUUCUCCCUUUAACUCCUGUUCCCUCACCCACUUAAAAAAAAAAAAAAUGUUCAGCAAACGGAUAUUCAUAGCCGAGAAUUCGUCUGUAGUGUGCAAACUUCUUACUGCUAAAGGGACCUGUGAAUUUCGGUGACGAAGGAAGUGGAGAAAGGCUACAAACUCUAAUUAAUAUGCAAAGCAGUUUGAACGAACGAAUGAACCGAGAAUACCAAAAGCCCAAAGGAAAGUAGAGUGUAGUCACUGAAGUGCAACUGUCCCGGCGACUGGAAGGAAUAACGACAUAAAUAGGGAGAGAAGCAGCAGAUAAACCUGAUUCAGUCCAUGAUAAUAAUGAUAUACAAGCUACAUCACUAAAUUGACGAGGUGUUAAUGCCACAAACUCCAUACAGAAGCCAGGUGGGGACGCCCGUGUCACAUCAACCACGAUGGCCUGGACGACACAGCGCGAGAUGGCGUACAAGCAGCCCAUGUCAUCCAAUGGAAACUUGUCGGUAUCCAUGCCCUCCCUCAGACUCGGCAGCCACACCACCACCUUCCUCUCCAUACCCGACACGUCACCCAUGUGUGAGAACGUCACCUUAUCCGUGACGGCGGUGGCCGUGUCUUCGACAUCACUCUCCAGCCAUCCGGUCCUUCGCCAUGCUCCUCACCACGCGCACCUCCAUUCCCACCUCGCGCAUGCCCAAGACUACUUCAUUCACGUGACCUGACUCUGGGUCGUCUUUCACGUCAUGGCUGUUUGUCAACACGAAGACGUCACGAAAGUCUAACGGUUCGGGUCCGCCUGAUGGACUUUCCUCUCGAGGGCGUCGCUGGUGUUGUCGUGGGAGUCGCUGCUGCCGCUAAAGUGCUGCUGCUGCUGCUGCUGCUGAUGUCAAGUCUCCAGCUGUGGUGCAGCUCGUGACAUCGUCAUCAGGGUGGUCACCGUCGCUGUCUCUGACGACAGGGUUCGACUCGCAGGGUUGCGAUGGACAUGGUGCUGGCGUCGCAACACUAGCCAUGGUACUAGGUCUUGGAAGGCCAGACGUCGGCCAGUUUUUUUCUGUUAGGAUCAAAGAACAUGCGUUUCCCUCUGUGUGUCAAUACAAUAAAGAACGACAUGAAAGUUUGAGGCAAUAUUUUACAACACACUAGAGUACUUGCAAAAAGUAUUUAAUCUUGUUCACUUUUCACAAUAUAAGAACUAUGAGAAUAAUGAAAGUGAUAUAAAGUAUGUUAUUAACGUAUAAAAAACUUGCUUGAAAACAGUUAAUAUGCCGGUCAGAUAAUUAGCCACCGACUAGACAAGUGACUUUGUUAAUGCUACAAAAGUAUUAUAGGGCAAUUUUUGUAUUUAGAUUGUCUUAAAUGAUUUCACAGUUCUGAAUAUUUUUCAGUGCUUUGCUGUUGUUAUGAAAUUUAGAGCCUGACUGAUGAUGAC
rnacentral:lncRNA from 1 species